CCUACGGGAGGCAGCAGUGGGGAAUAUUGCACAAUGGGCGCAAGCCUGAUGCAGCCAUGCCGCGUGUAUGAAGAAGGCCUUCGGGUUGUAAAGUACUUUCAGCGGGGAGGAAGGCGGUGAGGUUAAUAACCUCGCCGAUUGACGUUACCCGCAGAAGAAGCACCGGCUAACUCCGUGCCAGCAGCCGCGGUAAUACGGAGGGUGCAAGCGUUAAUCGGAAUUACUGGGCGUAAAGCGCACGCAGGCGGUCUGU
rnacentral:rRNA from 1 species